ACCACCGCCGCCGCCCCCCCCCUUCCAAUCUCUGUGGUGGCCACAAUCACGGCGAUGCUAACGGUUCGCAUUGAUGGCGCGCCUCCUCAGCGCCAGGCCCUGCCACCAGGGCCGCAUCUCAUUGGACUCCCCACUCUGCAAAAAAAGGGGGUCUUCUCACGGAACGGGAGACCCAGGCUGUGGAGAAGAGAGGUGGACAUCACCCCCCUCCACCCCCAAGGUCAUGAGCUGGAAUGGCAGGUCCGAUGCCGGCAUCCUAACGAACCAGGAAUGCACGCAACGCUGCCUGCACGUAAACAUCCUGCACCGAGUGGGCCACAAAAGAUGCGCGUCCUCCCGCAGCCCGGAGGCGCUUGAGGCCGCAGCCCCGGGGCCGAGCGGGAGGCCUGGCCGCGGGCGGCUGACCCGACCCCAUCGGAGCUCCGGAGGCCCCGGCCCAGGCCUUUGUCUGCGGCCGC
rnacentral:lncRNA from 1 species